rnacentral:rRNA from 1 species
UGGGCAACCUGCCCCUCUCUCUGGGAUAACUCCGGGAAACCGGAGCUAAUACCGGAUACUCCGGCUGGAUCGCAUGGUCCGGCCGGGAAAGGUCCGCCGGAGAGGGAUGGGCCCGCGGCCUAUCAGCUUGUUGGUGGGAUAACGGCUCACCAAGGCUACGACGGGUAGCCGGCCUGAGAGGGUGACCGGCCACACUGGGACUGAGACACGGCCCAGACUCCUACGGGAGGCA